AACAGGAUUAGAUACCCUGGUAGUCCACGCCGUAAACGAUGUCGAUUUGGAGGUUGUGCCCUUGAGGCGUGGCUUCCGGAGCUAACGCGUUAAAUCGACCGCCUGGGGAGUACGGCCGCAAGGUUAAAACUCAAAUGAAUUGACGGGGGCCCGCACAAGCGGUGGAGCAUGUGGUUUAAUUCGAUGCAACGCGAAGAACCUUACCUGGUCUUGACAUCCACAGAACUUUCCAGAGAUGGAUUGGUGCCUUCGGGAACUGUGAGACAGGUGCUGCAUGGCUGUCGUCAGCUCGUGUUGUGAAAUGUUGGGUUAAGUCCCGCAACGAGCGCAACCCUUAUCCUUUGUUGCCAGCGGUUAGGCCGGGAACUCAAAGGAGACUGCCAGUGAUAAACUGGAGGAAGGUGGGG
rnacentral:rRNA from 1 species